rnacentral:rRNA from 1 species
AUGGAUGUCAAAUCCGCUUUUCUGAAUGGUGAUCUUGCAGAGGAGGUCUAUGUACAGCAGCCGCCAGGGUUUGUCGAUGAUCGAGAGAGCUGCAAAGUGUACAAGUUGCAGAAGGCGUUGUACGGGCUGCGACAAGCACCACGGGCCUGGAAUGCUAAAUUGGAUGCAUCAUUGCAAGCCUUGGGUUUCAAAAGAAGCCGGCUGGAACAUGCUGUGUAUAGGCGUGGUGACCACAAGAACUUCCUGUUGGUGGGAGUAUAUGUGGAUGAUCUUGUUGGGAAUCGUAGCAUAAUUUUAAAAUUUUCCUACGCUCACCAAGAUGCAUCUAUGGAGUAUACUAGCAACGAGGGGAAAGGAGUGCAUGCGAGCGGAAGCGUUCCAAUGAACGUGGAUGACGGAGUCGUACUCGCCGUGAUCCAAAUCACCGAUGACCGAGUGCCGAACGGACGGCACCUCCGCGUUCAACACACGUACGGUGCAGCGACGUCUCCUCCUUCUUGA